UACGAAGGGGGCUAGCGUUGUUCGGAAUUACUGGGCGUAAAGCGCGCGCAGGCGGUUUUUCAAGUCAGUGGUGAAAGCCCGGAGCUCAACUCCGGAAAUGCCAUUGAAACUGUUAAACUUGAGGACGAGAGAGGUGAGUGGAAUUCCCAGUGUAGAGGUGAAAUUCGUAGAUAUUGGGAAGAACACCAGUGGCGAAGGCGGCUCACUGGCCCGUAACUGACGCUGAGGUGCGAAAGCGUGGGGAGCAAACAGG
rnacentral:rRNA from 1 species